GUGCGGCGCCAUACGGACUGCGUCGAGCGAGCGGGCCGUAGCUUGCUCCCUGAUGUUAGCGGCGGACGGGUGAGUAACACGUGUGUACCUGCCUGUAAGACUGGGAUAACUCCGGGAAACCGGGGCUAAUACCGGAUGCUUGUUUGAACCGCAUGUUCAACCCCAAAAGGUGGCUUCGGCUACCACUUACAGAUGGACCCGCGGCGCAUUAGCUAGUUAGUGAGGCAACGGCUCACCAAGGCGACGAUGCGUAGCCAGCCUGAGAGGGUGAUCGGCCACACUGUACUGACACACGCUACAGACUCCUACGUGAGGCAGCAGUAGGGAAUCUUCCGCAAUGCACGAAAGUCUGACGGAGCACGCCGCGUGAGUGAUGAAGGUUUUCGGAUCGUAAAGCUCUGUUGUUAGGGCAGAACACGUACAGUUCGAUCGGUCAGUCUCUUGACGGUACCUAAUCAGAAAGCCACGGCUAACUACGUGCCAUCAGCCGCGGUAAUACGUAGGUGGCAAGCGUUGUACUGGAAUUAUUGGGCGUACAGGUGCUCGCAGGCCGUUCCUUAAGUCUGAUGUGACAGCCCCCGGCUCACCCGGGAGGGUCAUUGGGAAACUGGGGAACUUGAGUGCAGAAGAGGAGAGUGGAAUUCCACGUGUAGCGUGAAAUGCGUAGAGAUGUGGAGGAACACAGUGCGAAGCGACUCUCUGGUCUGUACUGACGCUGAGGAGCGAAAGCGUGGGAGCGACAGGAUAGAUACCCUGUCAGUCACGCGUACACGAUGAGUGCUAGUGUAGGAGGCUUCCGCCCUAGUGCUGCAGCUACGCAAUAUGCAUUCGCUGCGAGUACGUCGAGACUGAACUCAAGAUGGACGGGUCCGACACUUGCACAUGUGUGAUCGAUGCACCGAGACUACCGGCUGAUCCUGAAUCUGAUGAGUUCCUCAGUCAGUCAUGUGCAUGUGUGCUCGCUAGUCGUAUGUAGUUCGAAGGACUGCAUCAUGCAGCUCAUG
rnacentral:rRNA from 1 species